rnacentral:misc_RNA from 1 species
AAGUCGUAACAAGGUUUCCGUAGGUGAACCUGCGGAAGGAUCAUUAACAACGUAUCCACGUUUACCCACCAUUGUGAAUUUGUUUUCAUUCUCCCUAGGAGGCACGCAUGAAGAGGAGCGAAGGUGCAGGCAGAGCGGGAUCGGCAACGAUCACACUGCACCGGUGCAACCGAGCGGACUUGUCCGUUCAACUCUUGUAGCAUGCCCCUAGGCUUCCAGUCGCUGAGCGCUCGCGGCCACUCUGGCUAGCACUCACCGGCGCUUUAUACUAACCUAUAUCACCCCUUUUUGCUGGUUGACUUUAUUUAUGUUAUAUGCGGACUCGUCCUCGUAUACACGUUUCUUAAUUGAACAAUAAAAACAACUCUUAGCAAUGGAUAUCUUGGUUCUC